AGAAUUUCCAGUCAUAAAUUCUCGAAGUUGCUGUUUAUCCUCCACCGAAAAAGGUUAAAAAAUGAAUGAUUACACUUAUUGGUUUACAUGCGAACUUUUGUUUAUUUUAUAUCCUUCUAUAUGUUGGAUAUGCAAAUUUCACGAAGCGGGGAUAGACACAACUGUCUUCACACAACCUACUUCAGAUUACUCCACUAAACACAAUACUCUAAUAAAUAGAAACUCUGAACAAUGUCAGCAACUUCCAUGAACUCCCAAUGACUCUCUUUGUCUCAACCAAUAUGCUAAUUUUUUUAUAAGAGUUUUGCUAGUCCAUUCUUCCAAUCCCAUAGGGGUGCCAAUGACUCUCACCACAACAGUUUAUACAUGUAUAUUUUACCAAAACAAGUAUCCCCAUGCGAAGCUUCACCUGUAUGAAGUAUCCCAUCCAUCAUGCCUCAGAGGUGUUCAGUAGGGUUCAUAUCUGGUGAUUGGCUUAGCUAUGGAAGCUUUUUAAUGCCAUUCUCUUCCAACCAAUCCUGGGUCUUUUAGUUGUGCAAGAAAGCCCUAUCUUCC